ACGAACGCUGGCGGCGCGCCUAACCCAUGCAAGUCGAACGAGCGAGAGGAGGUUUACUUUCUCAAGCGAGUGGCGAACGGGUGAGUAACGCGUGGGGAACCUGCCUCAAAGAGGGGGACAACAGUUGGAAACGACUGCUAAUACCGCAUAAGCCCACGACCCGGCAUCGGGUAGAGGGAAAAGGAGCAAUCCGCUUUGAGAUGGCCUCGCGUCCGAUUAGCUAGUUGGUGAGGUAAUGGCCCACCAAGGCGACGAUCGGUAGCCGGACUGAGAGGUUGAACGGCCACAUUGGGACUGAGACACGGCCCAGACUCCUACGGGAGGCAGCAGUGGGGAAUAUUGCACAAUGGGGGAAACCCUGAUGCAGCGACGCCGCGUGGAGGAAGAAGGUCUUCGGAUUGUAAACUCCUGUUGUUGAGGAAGAUAAUGACGGUACUCAACAAGGAAGUGACGGCUAACUACGUG
rnacentral:rRNA from 1 species